CACUCCCAUCAAUCCCAGCAUGAAGCUGCUACAGCUGCUACAUCAAGUAUGAAGGGAAUAGACUAUGAGCGAUGAAGGCAAGACUUUCCGGUCCUUUGCUCUCUCUACCCCGAUGGGAACAGCAGGAAUUGGAGAAGCACAGACCCAAGGCACAUUAAUGGAACCUCUUGGGCUACACUGUGAAGCCAAUGGAGCCUUUCUCA
rnacentral:lncRNA from 1 species